AACGAACGCUGGCGGCAGGCCUAACACAUGCAAGUCGAGCGAAGCCUUCGGGCUUAGCGGCGGACGGGUGAGUAACGCGUGGGAACGUGCCCUUUGGUACGGAAUAGCCCCGGGAAACUGGGAGUAAUACCGUAUGUGGUCGAGAGAAGAAAGAUUUAUCGCCAAAGGAGCGGCCCGCGUUGGAUUAGGUAGUUGGUGGGGUAAUGGCCUACCAAGCCGACGAUCCAUAGCUGGUUUGAGAGGAUGAUCAGCCACACUGGGACUGAGACACGGCCCAGACUCCUACGGGAGGCAGCAGUGGGGAAUCUUAGACAAUGGGGGAAACCCUGAUCUAGCCAUGCCGCGUGAUCGAUGAAGGCCUUAGGGUUGUAAAGAUCUUUCAGUGGGGAAGAUAAUGACUGUACCCACAGAAGAAGCCCCGGCUAACUCCGUGCCAGCCGCCGCCGUAAAAC
rnacentral:rRNA from 1 species